rnacentral:rRNA from 1 species
UGGGGAAUUUUGGACAAUGGGCGAAAGCCUGAUCCAGCAAUGCCGCGUGUGUGAAGAAGGCCUUCGGGUUGUAAAGCACUUUUGUCCGGAAAGAAAUCCUUGGCUCUAAUACAGUCGGGGGAUGACGGUACCGGAAGAAUAAGCACCGGCUAACUACGUGCCAGCAGCCGCGGUAAUACGUAGGGUGCAAGCGUUAAUCGGAAUUACUGGGCGUAAAGCGUGCGCAGGCGGUCUGCUAAGACCGAUGUGAAAUCCCCGGGCUCAACCUGGGAACUGCAUUGGUGACUGGCAGGCUAGAGUAUGGCAGAGGGGGGUAGAAUUCCACGUGUAGCAGUGAAAUGCGUAGAGAUGUGGAGGAAUACCGAUGGCGAAGGCAGCCCCCUGGGCCAAUACUGACGCUCAUGCACGAAAGCGUGGGGAGCAAACAGGAUUAGAUACCCUGGUAGUCCACGCCCUAAACGAUGUCAACUAGUUGUUGGGGAUUCAUUUCCUUAGUAACGUAGCUAACGCGUGAAGUUGACCGCCUGGGGAGUACGGUCGCAAGAUUAAAACUUAAAUGAAUUGACGGGGUCAUAGCUGUUUCCU